rnacentral:tRNA from 1 species
CAAGAUAUAGCAUAUAAAUAAUGCCUCUUAUUUACACUAAGAAAAAAAUACCAUAUUUAUCUUGC